AACGAACGCUGGCGGCAGGCUUAACAAACGCAAGUCGAACGCCCCGCAAGGGGAGUGGCAGACGGGUGAGUAACGCGUGGGAACAUACCCUUUCCUGCGGAAUAGCUCCGGGAAACUGGAAUUAAUACCGCAUACGCCCUACGGGGGAAAGAUUUAUCGGGGAAGGAUUGGCCCGCGUUGGAUUAGCUAGUUGGUGGGGUAAAGGCCUACCAAGGCGACGAUCCAUAGCUGGUCUGAGAGGAUGAUCAGCCACAUUGGGACUGAGACACGGCCCAAACUCCUACGGGAGGCAGCAGUGGGGAAUAUUGGACAAUGGGCGCAAGCCUGAUCCAGCCAUGCCGCGUGAGUGAUGAAGGCCUUAGGGUUGUAAAGCUCUUUCAUCGGAGAAGAUAAUGACGGUAUCCGGAGAAGAAG
rnacentral:rRNA from 1 species